AUUGAACGCUGGCGGCGUGCCUAAUACAUGCAAGUAGACCUGAGUUGCGAACGGGUGAGUACUGCCUAUGAAUCUGCCUGGUAGUGGUGGAUAACGUCCGGAAACGGGCGCUAAUACAACAUACAAUCAGAUAAGCCUCGGUCGGAUGAGCUAGUUGGUGGGGUAAAGGCCUACCACGGCGACCAUCCGUAACUGGUCUGAGAGGAUGAUCAGUCACACUGGAACUGAGACACGGUCCAGACUCCUACGGGAGGCAGCAGUGGGGAAUAUUGGACAAUGGGCGAAAGCCUGAUCCAGCCAUGCCGCGUGUGUGAAGAAGGUCUUCGGAUUGUAAAGCACUUUAAGUUGGGAGGCGUUACCAACAGAAUAAGCACCGGCUAACUUCGUGCCAGCAGCCGCGGUAAUUC
rnacentral:rRNA from 1 species